ensembl:ncRNA F37H8.10 ncRNA
UUGUUGCGUAUCGCGUCGGAAUUCCGACCUUCACCGUCUAUGGAAGAGGUGAUGCGCGGAUAAAUGAGGCGUGGGGUGGUGUGGGCGCAUCGGGACAAAGGAACUAUACUUGUGAUCUGGCACAAUUUUUUGG